UGGGGCGUCGCCAAGUGGUAAGGCAGCGGUUUUUGGCACCGCCAUUCGUAGGUUCGAAUCCUUCCGCCCCA
rnacentral:tRNA from 1 species